rnacentral:ncRNA from 1 species
GUCAUCCCUGACCCCUUGAGGGUCCUGUAGGGCCGUUGGAGACCACAACGUUGAUAGGCGGGGUGUGUAAGCGUAGUGAUACGUUGAGCUAACCCGUACUAAUUACCCGUGAGGCUUAACCAU